UAGAUGAUUUCUAUAAUUGCGAUCCACCCUAUGGUCCAUUCAACUUGAUCUGCUCUCAAUCUUUUCAAAUAGGAAACCCAUGCUUCAAACCCCUCGGGUGGUUUGUAACCUUCCACCCUUUUCUCGUACUUACAGAUGAAAUUGUUCCCGUCUGAAGCAUAUCUCAUGAAAUUAAGAUGGUGGCAAAGGUGUUCGAUCAUCCACAUCUGAAGGAGAAUGCUGCAGCCUUCGAAAAACUCACCCCCA
rnacentral:lncRNA from 1 species